UACGGAGGAUGCAAGCGUUAUCCGGAAUGAUUGGGCGUAAAGCGUCUGUAGGUGGCUUUUUAAGUCCGCCGUCAAAUCCCAGGGCUCAACUCUGGACAGGCGGUGGAAACUACCAAGCUGGAGUACGGUAGGGGCAGAGGGAAUUUCCGGUGGAGCGGUGAAAUGCGCAGAUAUCGGGAAGAACACCCGUGGCGAAGGCGGUUCUCUGGGACGGUACUGACGCUGAGACGCGAAAGCGUGGGGAGCGAACAGG
rnacentral:rRNA from 1 species